GGCAUUGCUGUUUGCCAGGCUCUUCUACAUAAACAUAACUGGUUCUACUUCUCACUCAGCCAAGGCAGGAAUGCUGCUGAAUUCUGACUCUGCCCUUUUACUGGCUUCAGCUAUAAUACUUGCUCUCCUCUGGUAUUUUGCAGAAUCUACAUAUUAACUGAUUUGGCUUUGCCUCUGUGCUUUUUCUCCUUAUCCUGAAAUCGGAGGUCACUCUGUCCUGUCAGCUUAGCACAGGUGGCCCAGGCAACUGCCCACACCACUGCUGUGUGCUUUGGAGAACCCUGUUGAUGGCUGCAUUCUCCGCUCUGCCCACAGAAGUCCCAGUGCCCUUGAGAGUCAACAGGAAAAGAAACAUGACCACUCAGACCACAAGAGCUGCAUGUGACCAUAACUGCAUUUCUCUGGAAAGAAUUCUGCUGGGACAGGAACUGAGAAUUCUUUCUCCAUGACCUCUGGGUUUCAGCAUAUCCCAUGAGACCAUUUACUUUAUACACAAAAGCUUCUUCCCUGCAAUUCCCACCCUGCUUCCACCCGAGGAGUACACCUUCUGGAGUACCCACAGCCAAGGUGGAACUCAUGAUACGAAAUAGGAAUGGCAUCCAAACCUUGCAG